CGAAGGGGGCGAGCGUUGCUCGGAAUCACGGGGCGUAAAGCGCCCGUAGGCGGCUUUCUAAGUCAGGGGUGAAAUCCUGGAGCUCAACUCCAGAACUGCCUUUGAUACUGGAGAGCUUGAGUCCGGGAGAGGGAUGCGGAAUUCCAGGUGUAGCGGUGAAAUGCGCAGAUAUCAGGAGGAACACCGGUGGCGAAGGCGGGUCUCUGGGCCGAUACUGACGCUGAGGAGCGAAAGCGUGGGGAGCGAACAGG
rnacentral:rRNA from 1 species